rnacentral:rRNA from 1 species
CUUCGGGACUAGAGACCGGCGCACGGGUGCGUAACGCGUAUGCAAUCUACCUUUCACAGAGGGAUAGCCCAGAGAAAUUUGGAUUAAUACCUCAUAGUAUAAUGAGUUGGCAUCAACACAUUAUUAAAGUCACAACGGUGAAAGAUGAGCAUGCGUCCCAUUAGCUAGAUGGUAAGGUAACGGCUUACCAUGGCAACGAUGGGUAGGGGUCCUGAGAGGGAGAUCCCCCACACUGGUACUGAGACACGGACCAGACUCCUACGGGAGGCAGCAGUGAGGAAUAUUGGACAAUGGGCGCAAGCCUGAUCCAGCCAUGCCGCGUGCAGGAUGACGGUCCUAUGGAUUGUAAACUGCUUUUAUACGAGAAGAAACAACUCUACGUGUAGAGUCUUGACGGUAUCGUAAGAAUAAGGAUCGGCUAACUCCGUGCCAGCAGCCGCGGUAAUACGGAGGAUCCAAGCGUUAUCCGGAAUCAUUGGGUUUAAAGGGUCCGUAGGCGGUCAGGUAAGUCAGUGGUGAAAGCCCAUCGCUCAACGGUGGAACGGCCAUUGAUACUGUCUGACUUGAAUUAUUAGGAAGUAACUAGAAUAUGUAGUGUAGCGGUGAAAUGCUUAGAGAUUACAUGGAAUACCAAUUGCGAAGGCAGGUUACUACUAAUAUAUUGACGCUGAUGGACGAAAGCGUGGGUAGCGAACAGGAUUAGAUACCCUGGUAGUCCACGCCGUAAACGAUGGAUACUAGCUGUUGGGCGCAAGUUCAGUGGCUAAGCGAAAGUGAUAAGUAUCCCACCUGGGGAGUACGUUCGCAAGAAUGAAACUCAAAUGAAUUGACGGGGCCCGCACAGCGGUGGAGCAUGUGGUUUAAUCGAUGAUACGCGAGGACCUACCAAGGCUAAAUGUAGAUUGACUGGUUGGAAUAGACUUUCGCAGACAUUUACAAGUGCUGCAUGGUUGUCGUCAGCUCG